GACGUAGGGUGCGAGCGUUGUCCGGAUUUAUUGGGCGUAAAGAGCUCGUAGGCGGCUUGUCGCGUCGACCGUGAAAACUUGGGGCUCAACCCCAAGCCUGCGGUCGAUACGGGCAGGCUAGAGUUCGGUAGGGGAGACUGGAAUUCCUGGUGUAGCGGUGAAAUGCGCAGAUAUCGGGAGGAACACCCGUAGCGAAGGCGGCACUCUGGGCCGGUACUGACGCUGAGGAGCGAAAGCGUGGGGAGCGAACAGG
rnacentral:rRNA from 1 species